rnacentral:tRNA from 1 species
CAAAGGAUAGUUUAGUUGUUUAGAAUUCUAACUUUGGGAGUUAGGGGGGUGGGUUAGAAUCCCAUUUCUUUGA